rnacentral:rRNA from 1 species
CACGCCGUAAACGAUGAAUACUAGGUGUCGGGGCCGUAUAGGCUCCGGUGCCGCCGCAAACGCAGUAAGUAUUCCACCUGGGGAGUACGUUCGCAAGAAUGAAACUCAAAGGAAUUGACG